GGCUCUGUGGCACAAUGGAUAGUGUGUUGGACUUCUAAGCUUAGCAUUAGAGCUAUUUAAAGGUUUUGGGUUCGAGUGCCACCAGAGUCA
rnacentral:tRNA from 1 species